GAACUUGGCAGAGAUGCUUUGGUGCCUUCGGGAACUCUGAGACAGGUGCUGCAUGGCUGUCGUCAGCUCGUGUUGUGAAAUGUUGGGUUAAGUCCCGCAACGAGCGCAACCCUUAUCCUUUGUUGCCAGCGGUUAGGCCGGGAACUCAAAGGAGACUGCCAGUGAUAAACUGGAGGAAGGUGGGGAUGACGUCAAGUCAUCAUGGCCCUUACGAGUAGGGCUACACACGUGCUACAAUGGCGCAUACAAAGAGAAGCGACCUCGCGAGAGCAAGCGGACCUCAUAAAGUGCGUCGUAGUCCGGAUUGGAGUCUGCAACUCGACUCCAUGAAGUCGGAAUCGCUAGUAAUCGUGGAUCAGAAUGCCACGGUGAAUACGUUCCCGGGCCUUGUACACACCGCCCGUCACACCAUGGGAGUGGGUUGCAAAAGAAGUAGGUAGCUUAACCUUCGGGAGGGCGCUUACCACUUUGUGAUUCAUGACUGGGGUGAAGUCGUAACAAGGUAAGCGUAGUGCU
rnacentral:rRNA from 1 species